UACAGAGGGGGCAAGCGUUGUUCGGAAUUACUGGGCGUAAAGGGCGCGUAGGCGGCCUUCUAAGUCGAACGUGAAAUCCCCGGGCUCAACCCGGGAACUGCGUCCGAUACUGGAAGGCUUGAAUCCGGGAGAGGGAUGUGGAAUUCCAGGUGUAGCGGUGAAAUGCGUAGAUAUCUGGAGGAACACCGAUGGCGAAGGCAAUCCCCUGGGCCUGCACUGACGCUCAUGCACGAAAGCGUGGGGAGCAAACAGG
rnacentral:rRNA from 1 species